rnacentral:rRNA from 1 species
AUGCCGACGGCCUUUCUAUAUGCUAACUCCCCCCAGCUUGUCUUCCUCAGUGAGACUUGGCAGGCUGCAGUUAAGAUGGAAAAGUUAAAGUGCAGAAUUGGUCUAAGAGGUUUCUUUGGUGUUAACAGUGAUGGUAUGAGUGGGGGGCUGGCACUAUACUGGGAUGAAAAUCCUCAAGUUACGGUGCUAGAUUCUUGCCCAAGAUAUAUUGAUGUUCUGGUUGUGGAUAGUAGUAUGGAUAAACGGUGGCGAGCAACUUUUGUGUAUGGUGAACCACGUGUGGAAAAUCGUCAUCACAUGUGGGAUCAUCUAACCAGAUUAAAGGCUGCUUCACAAGAACCAUGGCUAGUGUGUGGUGACUUUAAUGAAGUCCUAUGGCAGAAUGAGCACUUUUCAAGAGCAUCAAGGUCAGAAGGACAUAUGGCACUAUUCAGGGAUUGUUUGCAGCUUUGUGAACUUGAGGAUCUUGGCUUCUCAGGUAUGCCGUUUACAUAUGAUAAUGGUCAAUAUGGAAAUAAUAAUAUUAAGGUGCGAUUGGACCGAGCAUGCGCUGAUGAGCGAUGGAGGGACUUAUUUUCGGCCACUAAGGUGGUGCACGUGGCAUCUUCAUGUUCGGACCAUUGUCCGUUCGUGAUCCAAAUAGUACCGACUUUUGACCAGCGACGUCCCUCCGUUCCUAGGUACGAGAUCAUGUGGAAGAGGGAUUCAACCAUCCCACAUAUAGUUUCUUAG